UUCUAUGGCCAUGUAACUCUGAACACAGCAGAUUUCAUCUGAUCUCAGACGUGAAGCAGGAUUGGGCCUGGUCAGUACUUGGUACUUGAAUGGGAAAAAGUCAUUUCAAACU
rnacentral:rRNA from 1 species